AACUCUCCAAGAUACAGUGAAGCAGGGGAUGGCUUUGAUAAUUUCUCAAGAUUUGAUUCCUUCAGCAUGCAAGAAGGUGGAUUUUCUCCACGAGAGAGGCUUACAAGGUUUGAUUCCGUAAGCAGCACAAAAGACUUUGGCCACAGUCGUGCCUUCUCGUCUUUUGAUGAUGCAGACCCAUUUGGCUCCAGUGGACCAUUUAAGGUUUCAUCAGACAAUCAAACUCCAAAAAAAGGUUCUGAAAGUUGGAGUGCUUUCUAGCCAACAAUCCAAUCGUCCAUUAUUUUAUCUCCUUGCUGCUAAUUUCCUCUCCCAUUUUGUUUUGGUUUUGUUCAUUGUGGCCAUUUUUCCCGUCCUGUAUAGGUUGGACAAAGAGCUGGACUGUUGUAAAGUUAUUUGAUAUGGCUGGGCUGCUUUUUUUUU
rnacentral:misc_RNA from 1 species